UUAUUUCAAAUACUGUCAUUCAGAUUACAUAUAAAAUUAAUAUUAUUAGUUUCAAAAUCAGUCAACACAAAAAGAAAGUUGUAGCAGAAAAAGCGGCCAAGUCCAGACAAAGCCAAAUUGGAUAAAUAUUAUCCUUGUGUCGUGGCAAAUAUCGAAAGGCAGAGGAGAAAAACAUUUCUUUCAAUAACUUAAGAACAUUUCCAACAAAUACACAAAACUUUAUUCUCCUCCCAAGGUAAAGGGCACUUGAAAUAAUAUCAAUUACAGCACAAAGAUCCCAAGCCCCCACCAUGUAACUAAAAUCCCCAAACAAGCAGAGCAACAUCCAGCCACAUUGCUCUUGGUAACUGAUUCAAGGAUCCUGCCACUUAGCCACCCGUUUGUGGAAUGCCAGUAGAGUGUGCGAACAGGAGAAUGGUGUCUGCGGCAUCUGAGUAAACAUGGCUAUCAGUUACAGUCUGGAUUCGGUGUGCGGACUCGGACCUUCAGGUCUCAUGGCAUACGGAGACACCCUCUCCAUGUUUGUGUUUAUCGUAAGGCUUGUCUAAUUAUGCAAAACUCAGCAACUUUGCGAUGCGUUAAUGGGACACUCAUAAAACCCACACAAAAAGGGAAAACGUGCGAGGGUUAAAUGCGGAAAAAGGGCGAACAUUUCCCCAUGACUAACAACUUUGCUCACUCUAAUUAAUGUCAAAACUUUAAGGUCGUCCCAUAUCCGAGAUUCAAGCCAUUUGACCGAUUUGAAACGAGUCUAAUGAGACACCAAAUGUUGCAAGGGUUCAAGCAUGAAUGAGUAAAAAGUGUGUGUGUCCAGAGGAUAUAUUAAAAUCCUCAAAAUAAAAUAUUUAAACCAUAUUAAAUUUAUAUUGUUUCCCGCCAAACCCAAGACAGGGGCCUGCGGCAAGCCAAUCAAAUUAAUGCCCGGCUCUGAAAAAUUACUUUUCGCAUUUGAUUAAUAAUCCCGGAACAAUGGGAGCCAGAGCCAAGCCAUAAGCUCAUAAUAGUCAUGGUCUUAGCCUGAAUCCCGGGGGUGGUGGCAUAUUUUGUGCUUAUCAGCGACUUGAGUGGAAUGAGAAUGCCGCACUUUAAUUAGGAAAGCGCAAUUCAGAAAACCCAUGAAUCCCUCGAAAGGGUCGAGUGGAGGUUUACUAUCUAAACUUACCUUAAAUUUUAAAUUAAGACUAGAAAAUCUGCCUGUAAUAAAG
rnacentral:lncRNA from 1 species